GAUGAACGCUGGCGGCGUGCCUAAUACAUGCAAGUCGAGCGAACAGACGAGGAGCUUGCUCCUCUGACGUUAGCGGCGGACGGGUGAGUAACACGUGGAUAACCUACCUAUAAGACUGGGAUAACUUCGGGAAACCGGAGCUAAUACCGGAUAAUAUAUUGAACCGCAUGGUUCAAUAGUGAAAGACGGUUUUGCUGUCACUUAUAGAGGGAUCCGCGCCGCAUUAGCUAGUUGGUAAGGUAACGGCUUACCAAGGCAACGAUGCGUAGCCGACCUGAGGGGGUGAUCGGCCACACUGGAACUGAGACACGGUCCAGACUCCUACGGGAGGCAGCAGUAGGGAAUCUUCCGCAAUGGGCGAAAGCCUGACGGAGCAACGCCGCGUGAGUGAUGAAGGUCUUCGGAUCGUAAAACUCUGUUAUUAGGGAAGAACAAAUGUGUAAGUAACUAUGCACGUCUUGACGGUACCUAAUCAGAAAGCCACGGCUAACUACGUG
rnacentral:rRNA from 1 species